rnacentral:rRNA from 1 species
UUUCCUACGGGACGCAGCAGUGGGGGAUAUUGCACAAUGGGGGGAACCCUGAUGCAGCGACGCCGCGUGGGUGAAGGAGCGUUUCGGCGCGUAAAGCCCUAUCGGCAGGGAAGAAGAUGACGGUACCUGACCAAGAAGCCCCGGCUAACUACGUGCCAGCAGCCGCGGUAAUACGUAGGGGGCAAGCGUUAUCCGGAUUUACUGGGUGUAAAGGGAGCGUAGACGGCGGUGCAAGCCAGAUGUGAAAGCCCGGGGCUCAACCCCGGGACUGCAUUUGGAACUGUGCUGCUAGAGUGUCGGAGAGG